rnacentral:lncRNA from 1 species
GUUGGUAUUUAUGACCUCGCAAUAAUCGGAAUGUAUCAGUUCUUUAAGAAAUUAAAUCAAUUUCAUACACACAGCGGAAUUUAAAUUGCGGCAUACAAGAUUAGCAAUUGCAAGUAGAUGGAUAAGAGAUUAACCAAGAUGCAUGCAAGUCAAAUUACCAGAUUUAAACAAUAUUACUUAUUACAGAAUAUGUUUAACAUGCAUCUAAUAUUAAUCACAUAUACAGAUAUUUCAAGAUAGAAAAUUAAAGGAGUUAAGGGUUAGAGAAGAUUGCACCAAGGAUUUAUACUGGUUCAGUUGUCAACUUGACAACCUACAUCCAGUCCUGAAAAUCCAAACGGAUUUCAGAUUUUCU